rnacentral:rRNA from 1 species
GAUGAACGCUGACAGAAUGCUUAACACAUGCAAGUCUUUGGCGAAGCUGUGCUUGCACAGCCUAGCCAAGGCGGACGGGUGAGUAACGCGUAAGGAACUUGCCCUGCAGUCAGGGAUAACAGACGGAAACGACUGAUAAGACCUGGUAAAGUCAGGCGGACUCAUGUCCAGCCUGAUGAAAAGAGAUGCUGCAGGAGAGCCUUGCGUCCUAUUAGCUUGUUGGUGGGGUAACGGCCCACCAAGGCGAUGAUAGGUAGCCGGCCUGAGAGGGUGGACGGCCACAAGGGGACUGAGAUACGGCCCUUACUCCUACGGGAGGCAGCAGUGGGGAAUGUUGGACAAUGGGGGCAACACUGAUCCAGCAAUUCUGUGUGCACGAUGAAGGUUUUCGGAUUGUAAAGUGCUUUCAGCAGGGAAGAAAAAAAUGACGGUACCUGCAGAAGAAGCGACGGCUAAAUACGUG